rnacentral:rRNA from 1 species
UUCCAGACUCCUACGGGAGACAGCAGUGGGGGAUAUUGCACAAUGGGGGGAACCCUGAUGCAGCGACGCCGCGUGGGUGAAGAAGCGCCUCGGCGCGUAAAGCCCUGUCAGCAGGGAAGAAAAUGACGGUACCUGAAGAAGAAGCCCCGGCUAACUACGUGCCAGCAGCCGCGGUAAUACGUAGGGGGCAAGCGUUAUCCGGAUUUACUGGGUGUAAAGGGGGCGCAGACGGCGAUGCAAGCCAGGAGUGAAAGCCCGGGGCCCAACCCCGGGACUGCUCUUGGAACUGCGUGGCUGGAGUGCAGGAGGGGCAGGCGGAAUUCCUGGUGUAGCGGUGAAAUGCGUAGAUAUCAGGAGGAACACCGGUGGCGAAGGCGGCCUGCUGGACUGCAACUGACGUUGAGGCCCGAAAGCGUGGGGAGCAAACAGGAUUAGAUACCCCCGUAC